rnacentral:misc_RNA from 1 species
GAGUCUCAGUAGAACCACCA